AGAUUGAACGCUGGCGGCAUGCCUUACACAUGCAAGUCGAACGGCAGCACGGGAGCAAUCCUGGUGGCGAGUGGCGAACGGGUGAGUAAUAUAUCGGAACGUGCCCAGUCGUGGGGGAUAACGUAGAGAAAUUUACGCUAAUACCGCAUACGAUCUAAGGAUGAAAGCGGGGGACCGCAAGGCCUCGCGCGAUUGGAGCGGCUGAUAUCAGAUUAGGUUGUUGGUGAGGUAAAAGCUCACCAAGCCGACGAUCUGUAGCUGGUUUGAGAGAACGACCAGCCACACUGGGACUGAGACACGGCCCAGACUCCUACGGGAGCAGCAGUGGGGAAUUUGGACAAUGGG
rnacentral:rRNA from 1 species